UGAUAUCCUGUGCCAGGAACCUCCCCUCUCCCCUCUCCUCCCGCUGCACAUGUCCAGACUCCUGCAUGAAGAUAGGCAGCAGCGUCGCCCCUCCCUCCCCUGUGACUCUGUAGGAAGACACAGCAGUCUUCAGCACCGUUUACCCCCCUCCCCCAUCAGUGGAGGAGGCAGGAAGUCACGUGCAUUGGAGGAAGCAGCAGAGCAGAGUCAGACAUGAGAACUUCGAAGAGCAGCAGCCAUACACUGAGGAGCAGAAACUGAGAUGCUGAGUUUAGAGUUCGCAAUGCAGACAUACCGGCACCAUCCCCUGGUGUGGAAGAAGAGGAGGAGGAGUAUGGGCCUAUGGAGGAGUAUGCUGAGGUUGGAGAUCCAAAUCGGCCCAUUCAUUUGUCCAUGCAGCAGAUGGAGGCCCACGCGCAGGGCAUCCUUGAUUAAAUUAAUUUUUUGUUACACAUUUUUAGAUGAUUUAUUUUUGUUUUUAUGUUUAUAAUCAAUAUUUUUCAGUAAAUUUUUCAACAAAUUAAA